GGCAAAGGCACAGCUGAUGAAACAAGCAAGAGCGGGAAGCAAUCAAUUGCCAUUGAUGACUGCACCUUCCACCAGUGUGUGCGACUCAGCAAGUUUGACUCUGAACGCAGCAUCAGCUUUAUCCCGCCAGAUGGAGAGUUUGAGCUUAUGAGGUAUCGCACAACCAAGGACAUCAUCCUUCCCUUCCGGGUGAUCCCGCUAGUGCGAGAAGUGGGACGCACCAAACUGGAGGUCAAGGUGGUCAUCAAGUCCAACUUUAAACCCUCACUGCUGGCUCAGAAGAUUGAGGUGAGGACAGAGGGCUCAGGGAGGAGGAAGAAC
rnacentral:sRNA from 1 species